GACGAACGCUGGCGGCGUGCUUAACACAUGCAAGUCGUACGGUAAGGCCCUUUCGGGGGUACACGAGUGGCGAACGGGUGAGUAACACGUGAGUAACCUGCCCACAACUUUGGGAUAACGCUAGGAAACUGGUGCUAAUACUGGAUAUGUGCUCCUGCUGCAUGGUGGGGGUUGGAAAGCUCCGGCGGUUGUGGAUGGACUCGCGGCCUAUCAGCUUGUUGGUGGGGUAGUGGCCUACCAAGGCGGCGACGGGUAGCCGGCCUGAGAGGGUGACCGGCCACAUUGGGACUGAGAUACGGCCCAGACUCCUACGGGAGGCAGCAGUGUGGAAUAUUGCACAAUGGGCGCAAGCCUGAUGCAGCAACGCCGCGUGCGGGAUGACGGCCUUCGGGUUGUAAACCGCGUUCAGCAGGGACGAAGCUUUUUGUGACGGUACCUGCAGAAGAAGCACCGGCUAACUACGUG
rnacentral:rRNA from 1 species